GGGCCAUCAAAACCUUAGCGUCGUCAAAGAGCAACAACAGUCGAGAUGUGGUCUUGGACGAGUUCCCGAAAUGGCUGAAACGUUCCAUGGACCGGAUAAAAGACACUAACACGCACCAAAACACCAAGUUGAAGAGGAUCACCAACGAAAAAAAGGAGAAUCGCCUGUCAGUGUGCCAGGGCAGCAACGCAGCAACAACAAGAAGGAAAAGAAGAAAAACAAUUCCAAAGAAGAUGAUCUCACUUACGGCACGCGGGAUUGCGACAUUGCCAUGGUGGACAGGAUCAAGGCCGGAACUUUAGACAUGGAUUACUUCUGUCUCGGCUGUCAUGUGGAA